UUUCCGUAGGUGAACCUGCGGAAGGAUCAUUACUGAGUGAGGGCCCCUCGGGGUCCAACCUCCCACCCGUGUUUAACGAACCUUGUUGCUUCGGCGGGCCCGCCUCACGGCCGCCGUGGGGCAUCUGCCCCCGGGCCCGCGCCCGCCGAAGCCACCUGUGAACGCUGUCUGAAGUAUGCAGUCUGAGACAAUUAUUAAAUUAAUUAAAACUUUCAACAACGGAUCUCUUGGUUCCG
rnacentral:misc_RNA from 1 species